GAUGAACGCUGGCGGCGUGCCUAAUACAUGCGAGUCGAGCGAACAGACGAGGAGCUUGCUCCUCUGACGUUAGCGGCGGACGGGUGAGUGACACGUGGAUAACCUACCUAUAAGACUGGGAUAACUUCGGGAAACCGGAGCUAAUACCGGAUAAUAUAUUGAACCGCAUGGUUCAAUAGUGAAAGACGGUUUUGCUGUCACUUAUAGAUGGAUCCGCGCCGCAUUAGCUAGUUGGUAAGGUAACGGCUUACCAAGGCAACGAUGCGUAGCCGACCUGAGAGGGUGAUCGGCCACACUGGAACUGAGACACGGUCCAGACUCCUACGGGAGGCAGCAGUAGGGAAUCUUCCGCAAUGGGCGAAAGCCUGACGGAGCAACGCCGCGUGAGUGAUGAAGGUCUUCGGAUCGUAAAACUCUGUUAUUAGGGAAGAACAUAUGUGUAAGUAACUGUGCACAUCUUGACGGUACCUAAUCAGAAAGCCACGGCUAACUACGUG
rnacentral:rRNA from 1 species